CUAAUUGAGAGUUUGAUCCUGGCUCAGGAUGAACGCUGGCGGCGUGCCUAACACAUGCAAGUCGAGCGAGAAGUAAAGAAAUGAAGCUUCGGUAGAUUU
rnacentral:ncRNA from 1 species